rnacentral:rRNA from 1 species
ACUCCUACGGGAGGCAGCAGUGAGGAAUAUUGGUCAAUGGACGCAAGUCUGAACCAGCCAUGCCGCGUGCAGGAAGACGGCUCUAUGAGUUGUAAACUGCUUUUGUACGAGGGUAAACUCACCUACGUGUAGGUGACUGAAAGUAUCGUACGAAUAAGGAUCGGCUAACUCCGUGCCAGCAGCCGCGGUAAUACGGAGGAUUCAAGCGUUAUCCGGAUUUAUUGGGUUUAAAGGGUGCGUAGGCGGUUUGAUAAGUUAGAGGUGAAAUCCCGGGGCUUAACUCCGGAACUGCCUCUAAUACUGUUAGACUAGAGAGUAGUUGCGGUAGGCGGAAUGUAUGGUGUAGCGGUGAAAUGCUUAGAGAUCAUACAGAACACCGAUUGCGAAGGCAGCUUACCAAACUAUAUCUGACGUUGAGGCACGAAAGCGUGGGGAGCAAACAGGAUUAGAUACCCUGGUAGUCCACGCAGUAAACGAUGAUAACUCGUUGUCGGCGAUACACAGUCGGUGACUAAGCGAAAGCGAUAAGUUAUCCACCUGGGGAGUACGUUCGCAAGAAUGAAACUCAAAGGAAUUGACGGGGGCCCGCACAAGCGGAGGAACAUGUGGUUUAAUUCGAUGAUACGCGAGGAACCUUACCCGGGCUUGAAAGUUACUGACGAUUCUGGAAACAGGAUUUCCCUUCGGGGCAGGAAACUAGGUGCUGCAUGGUUGUCGUCAGCUCGUGCCGUGAGGUGUCGGGUUAAGUCCCAUAACGAGCGCAACCCCUACCGUUAGUUGCCAUCAGGUCAAGCUGGGCACUCUGGCGGGACUGCCGGUGUAAGCCGAGAGGAAGGUGGGGAUGACGUCAAAUCAGCACGGCCCUUACGUCCGGGGCUACACACGUGUUACAAUGGUAGGUACAGAGGGUCGCUACCCCGCGAGGGGAUGCCAAUCUCGAAAGCCUAUCUCAGUUCGGAUUGGAGGCUGAAACCCGCCUCCAUGAAGUUGGAUUCGCUAGUAAUCGCGCAUCAGCCAUGGCGCGGUGAAUACGUUCCCGGGCC